CCUACGGGGGGCAGCAGUAGGGAAUUUUCGUCAAUGGGCGCAAGCCUGAACGAGCGAUGCCGCGUGAGUGAAGAAGGCCUUCGGGUCGUAAAGCUCUGUUGCGGGGGAAAAAAGGCAGCAUCAGGAAAUGGGUGCUGACUGAUGGUGCCCCGCCAGAAAGUCACGGCUAACUACGUGCCAGCAGCCGCGGUAAUACGUAGGUGGCGAGCGUUAUCCGGAAUGAUUGGGCGUAAAGGGUGCGCAGGCGGUCCUGCAAGUCUGGAGUGAAACGCAUGAGCUCAACUCAUGCAUGGCUUUGGAAACUG
rnacentral:rRNA from 1 species